rnacentral:rRNA from 1 species
UACGUAGGGUGCAAGCGUUGUCCGGAAUUAUUGGGCGUAAAGAGCUCGUAGGCGGUUUGUCGCGUCUGCUGUGAAAUCUGGGGGCUCAACCCCCCAGCCUGCAGUGGGUACGGGCAGACUAGAGUGCGGUAGGGGAGAUUGGAAUUCCUGGUGUAGCGGUGGAAUGCGCAGAUAUCAGGAGGAACACCGAUGGCGAAGGCAGAUCUCUGGGCCGUAACUGACGCUGAGGAGCGAAAGCAUGGGGGAGCGAACAGG